GACGAACGCUGGCGGCGUGCUUAACACAUGCAAGUCGAACGGAAAGGCCCUGCUUUUGUGGGGUGCUCGAGUGGCGAACGGGUGAGUAACACGUGAGUAACCUGCCCUUGACUUUGGGAUAACUUCAGGAAACUGGGGCUAAUACCGGAUAGGAGCUCCUGCUGCAUGGUGGGGGUUGGAAAGUUUCGGCGGUUGGGGAUGGACUCGCGGCUUAUCAGCUUGUUGGUGGGGUAGUGGCUUACCAAGGCUUUGACGGGUAGCCGGCCUGAGAGGGUGGCCGGCCACAUUGGGACUGAGAGACGGCCCAGACGCCUACGGGAGGCAGCAGUGGGGAAUAUUGCACAAUGGGCGGAAGCCUGAGGCAGCAACGCCGCGGGCGGGAUGACGGCCUUCGGGUUGUAAACCGCUUUCGCCUGUGACGAAGCGUGAGUGACGGUAAUGGGUAAAGAAGCACCGGCUAACUACGUG
rnacentral:rRNA from 1 species